UCUCCGUUGGUGAACCAGCGGAGGGAUCAUUGCUGGAACGCGCCCCAGGCGCACCCAGAAACCCUUUGUGAACUUAUACCUUACUGUUGCCUCGGCGCAUGCUGGCCCCCUCGGGGGCCCCUCGGAGACGAGGAGCAGGCACGCCGGCGGCCCCUACCAAACCUCUUGUUUUUACAGUGUCUCCUCUGAGUUACAAACACAAAUGAAUCAAAACUUUCAACAACGGAUCUCUUGGUUCUGGCAUCGAUGAAGAACGCAGC
rnacentral:misc_RNA from 1 species